rnacentral:rRNA from 1 species
CAGUAGCCACGGGAAUACGGAGGGAGCUAGCGUUGUUCGGAAUUACUGGGCGUAAAGCGCGCGUAGGCGGUUACUCAAGUCAGAGGUGAAAGCCCGGGGCUCAACCCCGGAACUGCCUUUGAAACUAGGUGACUAGAAUCUUGGAGAGGUCAGUGGAAUUCCGAGUGUAGAGGUGAAAUUCGUAGAUAUUCGGAAGAACACCAGUGGCGAAGGCGACUGACUGGACAAGUAUUGACGCUGAGGUGCGAAAGCGUGGGGAGCAAACAGGAUUAGAUACCCCAGUAGUCCCUGUCUCUUAUAA